UACGAAGGGGGCUAGCGUUGCUCGGAAUCACUGGGCGUAAAGCGCACGUAGGCGGGUCGUUAAGUCGGAGGUGAAAUCCCAAGGCUCAACCUUGGAACUGCCUUCGAUACUGGCGAUCUUCGAGUCCGGGAGAGGUGAGUGGAACUCCGAGUGUAGAGGUGAAAUUCGUAGAUAUUCGGAAGAACACCAGUGGCGAAGGCGGCUCACUGGCCCGGUACUGACGCUGAGGUGCGAAAGCGUGGGGAGCAAACAGG
rnacentral:rRNA from 1 species